AAGAGUACAGGAGGAGCAUAAUCGAGUGCCUGUGUCACGAAGAUUACAGCCGAUUACAGAAAAGGAGAGAUUGAAGUGAACACACAUCGGUAUAUUGCUCGAGGCCGUCAUUUAAUCCCUGCACGUUUGACAAAGGAAAGAAUACGUGAUACAGCGGAAUCUGUUGACUGAUACGGUGAAACGCAAGCGUGUUAAAACUCAAGACGUGGCGUUUCAAUCUUUCAAAAGUGUCUACAUAACAAACAAGAAAGUGUGUAAAACACGAGCAGUAAAAAAAAUUCAAAGAGAAUAUACGUGCUAUUAUACUAUUCUAUUUGAGAGAGAAUUAAGCCAACCGAUCUCACUUAUUUCAAAUUGUGACGCCUAAAUCGUUGUCCAUGAAGUUUCUGCGAAAACUUCGGGCUAAGCGUGUCUAACUUUUGUUCGUAACCUCGUUAUCGGAGUUUGCAAGAGCCAUUUUCGGAUGCGGAUACACGCGCAAAAGGCAGAAUUAUUCGGCGGCGAAACUACAUCCGCGACUGCAUAAAACUGCUUUCAAGUUUUCGCAUGUGUGAGCACCCGAGGAUUUAUCCUUAUAAACAAGUUUUCCCCUCUUCAACGCGGCAAAAUCAAAUUUGGAAUGAUAAAAUUUAUCGUUGGAAACUGAUGUAGCUGGAGCAUGGAAAAAGACUGGGGUCAAACUGGAGCGUGAAUGGAAAAAGACGGGAAGCAAGCUCCUAUUUCUGUUAGGAAAUUACAAAGUUUUGCCGGACAGCCGUCACAACUUUGCAGUGUUUUGCAGCCAGCGAACAGCGUGAUUCGGAAUAUCCAUCGAGAAAGUUCCGCAAUAACAAAGAGCAAGUUAUUGGAAAAUAUUCGAAAGACUCUGCUGCCAAACUGCUACGACAAUAGCAACCGAAUGCGAGAAAGAAAAGGAGGAGAGGAAGAAAAAGACUGCACCUCUAUUGUGCCGCGAAACAAAGCUGGACACGAAAGAAACAUAAUCGUGAAGAAUAGUGUAACAAAUGAGAUAUAAAGAACAAAAGAGAGCGAUAUUUCCUAAUACUUUAAGCUCCUAGAAGAGUAAUACAAUCCAUUUGCAAUAAUCUUCAUUUAUAAAUAAGCUUAAAAAUGUAUAGACGGUCUAGAGAGAAAUUUACAGUUAAAUCGAGUUGAUUCCAUGAAGAAUGCAAUGCCACAGAGAAGGUCGGAGACGGACGAAGCGCGCUUUGUAGCAGCGAAAUGGCAGAGAGGCGAUCGAAUCGACUCGCCUUCACUCGCCUCCACUUGUAGUUGCGAAAUUACACAAGUGAUUAAAGAUCAAGCGUGCGGGGAAAGCCACAUCGAGAGUCCUUGCAAGGCUGUCACUGAGAAGUAACAAAUUCCCGUGGAAUUUACCAGACAAUUCCAGAAUGAAAGAUGGGAUUUGAGAUUAGAAUAAUAGCACUACACAACUCGUAAUUCGUAACUCCAAUUUGUAAAAUAAAAAUAAAGGAUCACAGGAGCAAAA